UACGUAGGGGGCAAGCGUUGUCCGGAUUUAUUGGGCGUAAAGCGCUCGCAGGUGGUUCAUUGCGUCGUGCGUGAAAGACCCCGGCUCAACUGGGGAGGGUCGUGCGAAACGGGUGAACAAGAGGCCAGUAGGGGGAUGCGGAAUUCCGGGUGUAGUGGUGGAAUGCGUAGAGAUCCGGAGGAACACCAGCGGCGAAGGCGGCAUCCUGGACUGGUCCUGACACUCAGGAGCGAAAGCGUGGGGAGCGAUCCGG
rnacentral:rRNA from 1 species